ensembl:lncRNA novel transcript, sense intronic AATF
AUUUAUUAGUCUGGGCACAGUGGCUCACAUCUAUGGUCCCAGCUCUUUGGGAGGCCAAGGCAGGAGGAUUGCCUGAGUCCAGGAGUUCAAGGCCAGCCUGGACAAUAUAGUGAGACCCUGUCUCUAAGAACAACAACAAAAACAUUUAUUAUGCCAGAUGCUAGUUUUAUAAAGGCUAGUAAGACCAAAAUCCCUGCCCAAAGAAUUUGUGUUACCUAAGAAGAGUGAAUAUCUAUGCAGUCACAAAAUUAAGAGUGUGACUUUAAUAAAAUUAAGGUGGAGAAAAUAAAUGUUGAAAAGAGCAAUCAGGUAUUUGAUACAAAAAUGUACAUGUGGUUCUCUAGGGUUCUCACAAACAUGCCUCAAGCAUUCAUUAGCCUACUGGUUUACCCCUCAACAUACACCUGAUCUAAUUCUACAGUAAUUUCUCUAUAACUUGUAAAAGGCCUUACGAGGCACUAUUUGACAUAAACAUUGGAUAAUACAAAUUCCAUAUUUUCCAAGAAUGUAAUCAUUGUUGGAAGCCGUAUGGAGUUGCUGGUAUCCACUGUUACUUAUUUCAGGGUAGAAGAAUCUUCAGAUUGGUGAUAGGUAGAAGAGGGAUGGUAGGAGAGGAAGUCAAGAGGUAAUGGGAGGCCAGGUCCUGUGGGACCUUGUAGGCCACUGUAGCACUUUGAUGUGGCUGAGAUGGGAAACUACCAGAGGAUUUU